rnacentral:rRNA from 1 species
AACGAACGCUGGCGGCAGGCUUAACACAUGCAAGUCGAGCGAGACCUUCGGGUCUAGCGGCGGACGGGUGAGUAACGCGUGGGAACGUGCCCUUCUCUACGGAAUAGCCCCGGGAAACUGGGAGUAAUACCGUAUACGCCCUUUGGGGGAAAGAUUUAUCGGAGAAGGAUCGGCCCGCGUUGGAUUAGGUAGUUGGUGGGGUAAUGGCCCACCAAGCCGACGAUCCAUAGCUGGUUUGAGAGGAUGAUCAGCCACACUGGGACUGAGACACGGCCCAGACUCCUACGGGAGGCAGCAGCGGGGAAUCUUAGACAAUGGGGGCAACCCUGAUCUAGCCAUGCCGCGUGAGUGAUGAAGGCCUUAGGGUUGUAAAGCUCUUUCAGCUGGGAAGAUAAUGACGGUACCAGCAGAAGAAGCCCCGGCUAACUCCGUG